rnacentral:rRNA from 1 species
UGGGGAAUAUUAGGCAAUGGGGGGAACCCUGACCUAGCAACGCCGCGUGAAGGAUGAAGGUUUUCGGAUUGUAAACUUCUUUGGCAGGGGACGAUAAUGACGGUACCCUGAGAACAAGCCACGGCUAACUACGUGCCAGCAGCCGCGGUAAUACGUAGGUGGCAAGCGUUGUCCGGAAUUACUGGGUGUAAAGGGCGAGUAGGCGGGUAUGCAAGUCAGAUGUGAAAUACCGAGGCUUAACCUCGGGGCUGCAUUUGAAACUGUAAAUCUUGAGUGAUGGAGAGGCAGGCGGAAUUCCCGGUGUAGCGGUGAAAUGCAUAGAGAUCGGGAGGAACACCAGUGGCGAAGGCGGCCUGCUGGACAUUAACUGACGCUGAGGCGCGAAAGUGUGGGGAGCAAACAGG